GCCAGUCAUGGUGGUGCAUGCCUGUAGUCUUAGCUACUUGGGAGGCUGAGGUGGGAGGAUCACUUGAGCCCAGGAGUUCGAGGUUGCAGUGAGCUGUAAUUGUGCCACUGCACUCCAACCUGGGUGACAGAGUGAGAGCCCAUCUCUU
rnacentral:sRNA from 1 species